rnacentral:lncRNA from 1 species
UCAUCAAACUUUCUUUGUUGCUUUCAAUUCAUAAUAUUUGCAUAAAAAUUCAAACAACGACGACAUGAUGACAAAGGAACGGAGACAACGAAGGCAAAGGAGCGGCUACAACACCGAGGAGAUGACACGCAGACGCACAAAAUGGAGGGAACACGACGUCGGCAUGCCGAGCCAGAGUGCAUAGAUAGAAUGAGGAGUUGAAUUGCUCUUCAAUUCUUCAAUUU